rnacentral:lncRNA from 1 species
AGAGCACCAAUGAUUAAAAACAAGAAGGAAAGUACGCUUCUCUUCCAUUUUCAGCACAUCAGAAACACCUCUGAACAGCGAAAGGAUGGAUUAUGGUUCAAAAAGUUCUGGUCCUCCAAGCGGAGGUCAUCUCUCACACGCAAAACCGCGGAGAGCCCGCACUUCCUCGCGUCUCCUGAAAUCACGCAACACGCGGAGAAAGAACAUGAAACAAGAGUCUUCCGAGACACGCACGCCAGCGCAGCGGAACCGGUUCGAGGAAAGCACGUUUCUUUUGUACCGUCCCUGAGAUUUCUGGCGUUUUUUAGUAUUUCUGCUUCUUUGCAAGAUACACGCGUUUCCUAAUAAUCAAGUAAAUAAAAAAUAAAAAAUGGAGAUCUAACGUGGGAGUCUCAGCCUUAGUCGGAACCUACUAAUUCGACUUGAUUACGACAGGCUUGACGCUCGUAUUAAUUCCUCUUGUAGUGGUCACGGGGUAAUGGGGCUUUGCACCUGCAGUAAUGCUGCAGUAAGUCUCUAAAGCAGGGUGGCCCGGUCCUUCCUGAGUCAGGGGGUCU